GAGUUGGUAGCUCAGUGAUAGAGUGCAUGCUUUGUAUUUAGGAUGUCCUGGGUUCAAUCCCCAGCUUCUCCA
rnacentral:tRNA from 1 species